CCGCCCAUAGCUCAAUUGGUUAGAGCAUCUAGCUUAUAUCUAGAAGGUUUCUUGGUUCGAGUCCAAGUGGGC
rnacentral:tRNA from 1 species